UACGGGGGGAGCAAGCGUUGUUCGGAUUUACUGGGCGUAAAGGGCGCGUAGGCGGCCACCGCAAGUCGACUGUGAAAUCUCCGGGCUUAACCCGGAAAGGUCAGCCGAUACUGCGGGGCUAGAGUGCAGAAGGGGCAACUGGAAUUCUCGGUGUAGCGGUGAAAUGCGUAGAUAUCGAGAGGAACACCUGCGGCGAAGGCGGGUUGCUGGGCUGACACUGACGCUGAUGCGCGAAAGCUAGGGGAGCGAACGCG
rnacentral:rRNA from 1 species